rnacentral:lncRNA from 1 species
AUGUUCUGCCCACCGUUCCCACAGUAGGAACUGAUUUGGAGGACGCAGCCUUGAGAAAGCAACGUGUUGCGAAGACCAUUUGGCUGGUGUACGUGACUUUUGAGAUUCUGGAGGGUGGUGAGAUCUACUCUUCCUGAGGCCGCCCAGGAGGUUGAGUCCACGAGCACGCCUGAAUAAGCUACAACCUACUUUCCAUCUCAAAGUUGGAUCUCCAGGGAACUCAGCCUACACUAUUGAACACCUCCAUCUGAGAAUACUGCUGAGACCAGCUCAUUGCUGUCUAGCUCUCUGGGAAUUCAGGAAUAGUUUCCUCAAAUUUUUCUCAGUUCCUGGUAUACAGUGUGUGGUGAAUAAAUGCUGAUUGAGUGAAUGCUGAUGAUCUAACUAAAAAACCAGCAUGCCAUCAAAGCUUUUAUUCCUCAAAAUUGCUUAUGACUGAAAACAAAAGUCAAGAGCAGAAGCUGUUUCCUAAAGUUUGCAUGCGACUCAGCACCCUUGAGUUCCAUUUGGGCUCAUUCUAAGACAUCCAGGAUCACACCAUCUAAACAGCCACUCAACUGAGGGAGAGUUGACACCUCUGACUCCCAGUGACCAUUAGCACCUUUUCUCUGGAGCUAAACUUCUGAAAUUGUUGAAGCUCUAAUAUUACUGAUAUUUUUGCCUGACGACUGUUAAUUCAGCAGAGAACUCCAACAAUGUCAUUUCAUCUGAUUCCUUUACUAUUGACUUCCACUUUACACCAG